CAGCCGCCACGGUAAUACGAAGGGUGCAAGCGUUACUCGGAAUUACUGGGCGUAAAGCGUGCGUAGGUGGUUGUUUAAGUCUGCUGUGAAAGCCCUGGGCUCAACCUGGGAAUUGCAGUGGAUACUGGGCGACUAGAGUAAGGUAGAGGAUAGUGGAAUUUCCGGUGUAGCAGUGAAAUGCGUAGAGAUCGGAAGGAACAUCUGUGGCGAAGGCGACUAUCUGGGCCAUUACUGACACUGAGGCACGAAAGCGUGGGGAGCAAACAGGAUUAGAUACCCGAGUAGUCCCUGUCUCUUAUAC
rnacentral:rRNA from 1 species